rnacentral:lncRNA from 1 species
AGACUGCCCCCAACAACCCAUCCAUACCCAGAACCCCUAGCUCUCAAAUUCACUACCUCAUUUCCCCUCAAUGGACCUAGAACCCUACCCAAACACUUGAUUUUCUAGCAGAUCAACACUACGACAGAACUCCCACCUCAAACACUUCUAACAUGUCCAAUUAAAGCAGUUAAACACAUCCAUUUUCAGUCCAUGGCAUCACAACAUAGUUUCACAUAUUAUAAAUUUUAGUACAUACAACACGAC